UCAGAUUUAGAAGGAAAAAAGACGGGAAAACGCAAUGAAAGAAUCAAGCCUAUCAAAGAAAUGAACAUUGUUUGAUUCUAGUUCUAGUUUCUGGUCCGGAUAAAGAGAGGAGAAAGAAAGGUUGAAGCGCUACGUGGAUCACUGACAUCAUCUUCUCAUUCACGUCCAAUUCAAAUCAUGAAAAGAAAAGAAAAGAAUGAUCGAAGCCCUCAAGAAAAAAGAAGGAAUUAUCCAGGAGUGCAAGGAAAGAAAUCCAUAUUAACCUAGGCAAGGAGCAAAGAAUUUGCGAAGGACUGAUUUGAUAGACGAAUUUGAGAAGAAGGAUGUCUCACAACAAGAGGAAGCGCGAACUAAGCUAAGAAGAGAGGCAGCUGGAGUUGGAGAAGCUUUCCCUCCCAUAAAAGAAUGGAACUGCUCGAGCUAGUCCCACUCCGCGGUAGGAUCGACUGGAUCCGGUCUGAAUAGGGAAUUUGAUCUUUCUCUCUUGAGUUGACGUCAUCUCUUUCAGUUGGAUCGGCUGAAAUACUGGUCUUUCUGCUCAAGCCUUAUGUUAAGGAAAUGCAAACCACAACUUAUGCAAGGAGAAAAGGUGAGGGAAACCCGCUGGGGAGUGAAAAGGGCUGGGAGAGAUGAGUAUGAGUCAUCCGUGGCUUUGCUUUAGUUUCAAGAGCUAAAGUAGCAGUCCUUUCAGAAGUUGGUGAAUCUCGUUAAUGCACUAAUAAAAGGAUGAAAGAAUCUCUCUCAUGAGAAAAGAUGGAAUCUCUCACGACAAGAAGCAUUCUCCAAACUCAAAAAAAGAGGAAAGUAGACUGGCCACGAGGUUAGAACUCAAGCUAGAUCUCAGGCCGUCGGCCUUGCUUGAAACUGGGCAUGAAAGAUCUGAUCUUUCUCUUCCACGUUCUUUAAGGCGCGAAGCGAAGCGACUUAAGUUCAGUUUCUGAAUUAAGCUACUUCUCCCUCUUGUCUGAUUUUGAUUCCCUAGCAUUAGAUCUCUUUCUCUCUCGUUCUACAACCUUGCACAAGAUCGACCCUCUCGCUUUUGCCUUUGUAAACCGGAUUCCCUUUAGACUGCGUAAGAAAGCGAAAUAGAGUUUGAACCUUCCCUUGGGGGAGAGCAUGCUUCCCCUCUUUUUUAGGUGUACCGGUAAGGGGGUCCUAGUUCGUUUUGGGGCAAAUCAAUCAAUGAAA